UACGUAGGUGGCAAGCGUUGUCCGGAUUUAUUGGGUUUAAAGGGUGCGUAGGCGGUUCCAUAAGUCAGGGGGGAAAUACGGCAGCUCAACUGUCGAGGUGCCAUUGAUACUGCGGAACUUGAGUACUGAUGAGGUAGGCGGAAUUGACGGUGUAGCGGUGAAAUGCUUAGAUAUCGUCAAGAACACCGAUAGCGAAGGCAGCUUACCAAGCAGUAACUGACGCUGAGGCACGAAAGUGCGGGGAUCAAACAGG
rnacentral:rRNA from 1 species